rfam:Nicotiana sylvestris Nsyl_contig85451, whole genome shotgun sequence.
GUCUUUUUUUGGACACCUGAUAAAUUGGAACGAUACAGAGAAGAUUAUGGUUCUUGCGCAAGGAUGGCACAAACAGUCAAGAAAUGGUCAAAUUUUUG